rnacentral:lncRNA from 1 species
GGGGGGGGCACAGCGCGGGGUCUGUUGCACACUCAUCCACGUCGUGGCAGCGGCCGUGCCGCACUCCGUAGCCGGGGGGGCAGCGGCAGCGGAAGGAGCCCACCGUGUUCACACAAUCACCGCCCGUGCAAAGAGCGCCCAGCGCACACUCGUCGAUGUCUUCGCAGCGGGGGGGCUGACUGAGGUGCCUCGUGCCGGGGGGGCACUGACAGCUGUAGGAUCCGGCGCUGUUCACACACAGCCCCAUAGCGCACGGCACCCCC